rnacentral:rRNA from 1 species
GCUUACGUCCACACCUCCCUGAGCACGCCGAUCUCGUCUGAGCUCGAAGCUAAGCAGGGUCGGGCCGUUAGUACUUGGAUGGGAGACCGCCUGGGAAUCCCAGGUGCUGUAAGCC